UACGUAGGGUGCGAGCGUUGUCCGGAAUUAUUGGGCGUAAAGAGCUUGUAGGCGGUUUGUCGCGUCUGCUGUGAAAAUCCGGGGCUCAACCCCGGACUUGCAGUGGGUACGGGCAGACUAGAGUGUGGUAGGGGAGUGUGGAAUUCCCGGUGUAGCGGUGAAAUGCGCAGAUAUCGGGAGGAACACCCGUGGCGAAGGCGGCUUCCUGGGCCGCGCCUGACGCUGAGACGCGAAAGCGUGGGGAGCGAACGGG
rnacentral:rRNA from 1 species